UACGAAGGGGGGCUAGCGUUGCUCGGAAUCACUGGGCGUAAAGCGCACGUAGGCGGAUUGUUAAGUCAGGGGUGAAAUCCUGGAGCUCAACUCCAGAACUGCCUUUGAUACUGGCGAUCUUGAGUCCGGGAGAGGUGAGUGGAACUGCGAGUGUAGAGGUGAAAUUCGUAGAUAUUCGCAAGAACACCAGUGGCGAAGGCGGCUCUCUGGGACGGUACUGACGCUGAGACGCGAAAGCGUGGGGAGCGAACAGG
rnacentral:rRNA from 1 species